AGUCUGUGAAACGAGGAACGAAAUUGGUCGCGCGCGGGAAUCAGCGGUUGUGUGUUUGGCCUUUUUCUGAUUGUGAUUUAAUGCGAGAGAUUGUGAUUGCUAGUGUGAAACGUGUGUUUUUUACCUACGAAUUGAGAAUCUGCGUGUGGGAGUUGAUGCGAUAGGGUGUAUGAAAAUUGGAUAAUUUACAAUAAAUAAUGGCAACUUUAGCAGAACAAGCAUCUAAGCUUCUGGAUUUUAAUCAGAAGUUAGAUAUAACACUUCUUGAUAAUAUAGUAGGUUGUAUGUACACUGGAAUAGGUGAGCAACAAAGAGUUGCACAAGAAGUAUUAACUACACUUAAAGAGCAUCCAAAUGCAUGGACCCGUGUAGAUACUAUUCUAGAAUAUUCACAGAAUCAACAAACAAAGUAUUAUGCUUUACAAAUAUUGGAACAAGUUAUAAAGACACGAUGGAAAGUAUUACCACGAAAUCAGUGUGAAGGUAUAAAAAAAUAUAUUGUAGGUCUUAUCAUAAAAACAAGCAGUGACCCAGAAACAAUGGAAAGUUCUAAAGUUUAUCUUAAUAAACUUAAUAUGAUUUUAGUUCAAGUUUUAAAACGAGAAUGGCCAAAAAACUGGGAAUCCUUUAUUGGUGACAUUGUUGGAGCAAGUAAAACAAAUGAAAGUCUUUGUCAAAAUAAUAUGGCAAUUUUAAAAUUACUAUCAGAAGAAGUAUUUGACUUUUCUAGUGGACAAAUGACACAAACAAAAGCAAAACAUUUGAAAGAUACUAUGUGUAGUGAAUUCUCACAUAUUUUUCAUCUUUGUCAGUUUGUAUUGGAUAAUUCACAAAAUGUUCAACUGGUGGCAGUUACAUUAGAAACUCUUUUAAGGUUUUUAAAUUGGAUUCCUCUGGGGUAUAUUUUUGAAACAAAAUUAAUAAGCACUUUAGUAUUCAAGUUUUUAAAUGUACCAAUAUUCAGAAAUAUUACAUUAAAAUGCUUAACCGAAAUUGCUGGUGUCACAGUAACAACUUAUGAUGACGUAUUUGUAAUGUUAUUUGUUAAUGUAAUGCGACAGUUAGAACAGAUUUUACCUCUUGAUACAAAUAUACGCGAAGCAUAUGCAGCAGGUCAAGAUCAAGAACAAAAUUUCAUUCAAAAUCUAGCUAUAUUUUUAUGCACAUUUUUGAAAGAGCAUGGGCAAUUUAUAGAGAAAAAACAAUUAAAUGAAUUGCUACUCAAAGCAUUGCAUUACCUUGUUUUAAUUUCUGAAGUUGAAGAAGUUGAAAUAUUUAAAAUCUGUCUGGAAUAUUGGAAUGCAUUAGCAAUGGAUUUAUAUAGAGCAAAUCCCUUUGUGUCUCCAACACCAUUAUUUGUGGUUAAAAAUAUAACACUCCCAUCUAGAAGAUUAUUUUAUUGUCCUGUUUUAACAAAAGUACGAUAUAUUAUGAUCAGUAGAAUGGCUAAACCAGAAGAAGUUCUUGUUGUAGAAAAUGAGAAUGGAGAAGUUGUUAGGGAAUUUAUGAAAGACACUGAUUCUAUUAAUUUAUAUAAAAAUAUGAGAGAGACUCUUGUAUAUCUUACUCAUCUUGACUAUAUAGAUACUGAAAGAAUAAUGACAGAAAAGUUACAAAACCAAGUUAAUGGAUCAGAAUGGUCCUGGAAAAAUCUUAAUGCGUUGUGCUGGGCAAUAGGUAGUAUUUCUGGUGCAAUGCAUGAAGAAGAUGAAAAGCGAUUUUUAGUAACUGUUAUCAAAGAUCUCCUUGGUCUUUGUGAACAAAAGAAAGGCAAAGAUAAUAAAGCUAUUAUUGCUAGUAAUAUUAUGUAUGUAGUUGGGCAAUAUCCAAGAUUUCUCAGAGCACAUUGGAAAUUUCUGAAGACUGUUGUAAAUAAACUCUUUGAAUUUAUGCAUGAAACUCAUGAUGGUGUGCAAGAUAUGGCCUGUGACACAUUCAUAAAAAUAGCACUAAAAUGUAGGCGACAUUUUGUUACACCUCAAACAGGAGAAUUGGUACCAUUUAUUGAAGAAAUUCUUUCUACUAUUAGUAGUAUUAUUUGUGACCUCCAAACACAACAGGUACAUACAUUUUAUGAAGCAGUUGGAUAUAUGAUAAGUGCACAGACUGAUACAGUAAUGCAGGAAGAAUUAAUAGAAAGAUAUAUGCUUUUACCAAAUCAAGUAUGGGAUGACAUAAUAAGUCAAGCAUCUAAGAAUGUAGAUGUAUUAAAAGAUCAAGAAGCUGUAAAACAACUUGCUAGUAUUUUGAAGACAAAUGUAAGAGCUUGCAAAGCUCUUGGGCAUCCAUACGUGAUACAAUUAGGAAGAAUAUAUUUAGAUAUGUUGAACGUUUAUAAGGUUAUGAGUGAAAAUAUAAGUGCUGCAAUAGCUUUGAACGGUGAAAUAGUAAUGGAACAAUCUCUGAUUAAAAGUAUGAGAGUAGUGAAAAAAGAAACAUUAAAAUUGAUCUCAGAUUGGGUCAGCAGAACAACUGAUCGUCAAAUGGUUUUAGAUAGCUUUUUACCACCAUUAUUAGAUGCUGUUUUAUUGGAUUAUCAAAAAACAAAUGUGCAUUGUGCUCGAGAACCAGAGGUGCUAAGUGCUAUAGCCACUAUCGUAAAUAAAUUAGAAUGUUAUAUUACCAGUGAAAUACCUAAAAUAUUUGAUGCUGUGUUUGAAUGUACUUUAGAAAUGAUAAAUAAAGAUUUUGAAGAAUUUCCGGAACAUAGAACAAAUUUCUUUUUACUUUUACAGGCAGUGAAUGUUUCUUGUUUCUCUGCAUUUCUUAUAAUUCCACCAGCACAAUUUAAACUUGUACUUGAUUCUAUAAUUUGGGCUUUUAAGCAUACAAUGAGAAAUGUUGCAGAUAUAGGACUACAAAUACUAUAUCAACUCUUACAAAAUAUUGAAGUUUCUACUCCCGAUGCUCAAAAUUUCCAUCAGACAUAUUUCACAGAUAUUCUUCAACAUAUAUUCAGUGUAGUUACAGAUUCGUCACACAUUGCAGGCCUUAAUAUGCAUGCUACAAUUUUGGCAUACAUGUUUUCGUUGGUUGAACUUGGGCGAAUUAAAGUUCCAUUAGGACCUGUACCAGAUAACACAUUAUAUGUUCAAGAAUUUGUUGCAAGAUUGCUUAAAACAGCAUUUCCACAUUUAACUGAUAAUCAAAUUAAAAUAACUGUACAAGGUUUAUUUAAUCUUAAUCAAGAUAUUCCUGCAUUCAAAGAACAUCUUAGAGAUUUCCUUGUUGAAAUCAGGGAAUAUACUGGUGAAGAUGAUUCAGAUUUGUAUCUUGAGGAAAGAGAAACUGCAUUACGGUUAGCACAAGAAGAAAAAAGGCUACAACAAAUGGCAGUACCAGGAAUACUUAAUCCUCAUGAAAUACCAGAAGAGAUGCAGGAUUGAAUUACCAGUUUUCUUCGUUACCUGCUUUCUGUACAUCUCAAUAAGAAACAUUCUGUUACACAGACUAUUGUAUCCUUUGAUCUGCGACUUUUCUCACAUGUACCACAAUUACCAUCAAGAUGGAUAUACAUUAUAUACUUUUUAAAGCCAAGUUUACAAUAUAACAUUCUUGUUAAGGAGAAAAAGGACAAAUUUUCUUAUCGUUCGAGCUUGCCUCCACCUCAAUAAAUGCUACAGGUGCUUGGUCUUACAAAUCACAAAUAAUCAUGAUGCAUGAUAACACAAUUUAAUAUGUGUCUAACACUGGUACAUGACCUAUAGAACUGUGAAGAUAGAUUGCUUAAUAAAUUUCGUAAAAAAAAAAAUGAAAAAAGAAGUUUGUGUGAAAAUAUAUCACAAAAGAAGAUAUAAAAAACAUUUGACUUCGUUCGCAAAUUAAGAAUUACUUUUUACUAUUCGCAAUUUGAAUUUUUUAUUACAUUGAAAAUUUAUUUUGUCAAGAAUAGCAUUAUUACUAUGAAAAUAUUUAGUACUGAUGCCACAUUUUUCCAGAAUGGAAAAUGGAAAAUGAAAGAGCAUCAUGGCAAGAAUAUAAUGAAUAUAUAUACCGUUAUGCAUUUUAAUAAAACGUCAACGAUUUGUAUCAUACAUGAGUGAAUCGAAGUAGCUCUACUUGGAACCCUGAAGCCAUUACAUUUGAUACUAUGCGACUCGGGUCUCAAGAAGCCACUAUUACUUCAGGAGGAAAUGGGAAAAAGAAUAUCAAUGCCACUUGAUUUCAUUCUUUAUUAAUAAGCUGUAUUUAUUUGCAACCGGUAUUGCAAACAAAUGAAAAAAAAUUAACGGCAUUUUCAGACAAUUUGUGAUAUAUCUUGUAAACUUUUAUCACAAAAGAAAUAAUUUGUAUGGAUAGAUGUAAUAAGUUACAGAAUGUAUUUAGUCAUACAUAGUUGUAUGUGAUAAGACUACGUGUAAUGAGGAAAGUGCUUAAAAAUCGUAAGAUAUCUAAAUAAUAAUGAUAUCUAAAAUAAAGCUGCAACUAAAUGUUUUAUAAGCUGUUCGUUUGUUAUACGAGAAUCCUAAAUUUAACAAGUUUUUACAGUAUAAGUAAUUUUGGACGUAAAUAAGUACAGCUAAGAUUCAAAAAAUAAUAUACCUUUUUGGUUAUAUAACAAUAUUUGAUUGAUUAGAAAAUUUUCGGAAAAAAAAUUCAUUUUCUUUCUAAAUUAUUUGCGAUAAAAUUAAAAAUUGGAAAACUCUA